rnacentral:lncRNA from 1 species
CAUACCUAUCGCUUCCAACUUCAUUUCUAUGUGAGGGUCAAAUUGAUAAUAAGUUUAUAAAACAGAGUACAAUAUUUAUAAAAUGAAACUCAACACGCAUGCGUGAAUUGGUAGCUCUGUCUGUACCUGAGGGUAGCAGUUUUGGCGGACAUAGUCUGGGUGGUUCUAUGUACCACAAUCUCGCAUAAGACUUUCGCCUGUUGAAUAUUAUUACACACAUGAAGAGAAUCUAAAGACUAAAAUCAUGAAACAUAGUAGUACAACAUUAAUAUUUAAUGCUUGCUAAUCCAAUAAUCCCCUUUCCUUGUAUUUCUCGAAACAGGGUGUUAAUUUGAUGAGCUUAAGC